rnacentral:rRNA from 1 species
AAACGCUUGAAGUCAGUCGCGUCUUCUAGAACUCAGCCUGGCUUUUGCUUGGUGCAUUUUCUAGUUGACGGGCCAGCAUCAGUUUUGACUGCUGGAAAAAGGCUUUGGGAAUGUGGCACCCUCGGGUGUGUUAUAGCCCAGAGUCAUAUACAGUGGUUGGGACUGAGGAUCUCAGCAUGCCUUUUGGCCGGGGUUCGCCCACGUUCAUGCUUAGGAUGCUGGCGUAAUGGCUUUAAACGA